rnacentral:rRNA from 1 species
UGUUAGCGGCGGACGGGUGAGUAACACGUGGGUAACCUGCCUGUAAGACUGGGAUAACUCCGGGAAACCGGAGCUAAUACCGGAUAGUUCCUUGAACCGCAUGGUUCAAGGAUGAAAGACGGUUUCGGCUGUCACUUACAGAUGGACCCGCGGCGCAUUAGCUAGUUGGUGAGGUAACGGCUCACCAAGGCGACGAUGCGUAGCCGACCUGAGAGGGUGAUCGGCCACACUGGGACUGAGACACGGCCCAGACUCCUACGGGAGGCAGCAGUAGGGAAUCUUCCGCAAUGGACGAAAGUCUGACGGAGCAACGCCGCGUGAGUGAUGAAGGUUUUCGGAUCGUAAAGCUCUGUUGUUAGGGAAGAACAAGUGCAAGAGUAACUGCUUGCACCUUGACGGUACCUAACCAGAAAGCCACGGCUAACUACGUGCCAGCAGCCGCGGUAAUACGUAGGUGGCAAGCGUUGUCCGGAAUUAUUGGGCGUAAAGGGCUCGCAGGCGGUUUCUUAAGUCUGAUGUGAAAGCCCCCGGCUCAACCGGGGAGGGUCAUUGGAAACUGGGAAACUUGAGUGCAGAAGAGGAGAGUGGAAUUCCACGUGUAGCGGUGAAAUGCGUAGAGAUGUGGAGGAACACCAGUGGCGAAGGCGACUCUCUGGUCUGUAACUGACGCUGAGGAGCGAAAGCGUGGGGAGCGAACAGGAUUAGAUACCCUGGUAGUCCACGCCGUAAACGAUGAGUGCUAAGUGUUAGGGGGUUUCCGCCCCUUAGUGCUGCAGCUAACGCAUUAAGCACUCCGCCUGGGGAGUACGGUCGCAAGACUGAAACUCAAAGGAAUUGACGGGGGCCCGCACAAGCGGUGGAGCAUGUGGUUUAAUUUGAAGCAACGCGAAGAACCUUACCAGGUCUUGACAUCCUCUGACAACCCUAGAGAUAGGGCUUUCCCUUCGGGGACAGAGUGACAGGUGGUGCAUGGUUGUCGUCAGCUCGUGUCGUGAGAUGUUGGGUUAAGUCCCGCAACGAGCGCAACCCUUGAUCUUAGUUGCCAGCAUUCAGUUGGGCACUCUAAGGUGACUGCCGGUGACAAACCGGAGGAAGGUGGGGAUGACGUCAAAUCAUCAUGCCCCUUAUGACCUGGGCUACACACGUGCUACAAUGGACAGAACAAAGGGCUGCGAGACCGCAAGGUUUAGCCAAUCCCACAAAUCUGUUCUCAGUUCGGAUCGCAGUCUGCAACUCGACUGCGUGAAGCUGGAAUCGCUAGUAAUCGCGGAUCAGCAUGCCGCGGUGAAUACGUUCCCGGGCCUUGUACACACCGCCCGUCACACCAUGAGAGUUUGCAACACCCGAAGUCGGUGAGGUAACCUUUAUGGACC